UACGUAGGUGGCAAGCGUUGCUCGGAAUCACUGGGCGUAAAGCGCACGUAGGCGGAUUGCUAAGUCAGGGGCGAAAUCCUGGAGCUCAACUCCAGAACUGCCUUUGAUACUGGCGAUCUCGAGUUCGGGAGAGGUGAGUGGAACUGCGAGUGUAGAGGUGAAAUUCGUAGAUAUUCGCAAGAACACCAGUGGCGAAGGCGGCUCACUGGCCCGAUACUGACGCUGAGGUGCGAAAGCGUGGGGAGCAAACAGG
rnacentral:rRNA from 1 species